GUCAUGUGACAUGGAUGUCACAUUUUUCCCAUAUGACAGUCAAACCUGUGACAUAGAAUUGGCUAGCUGGGGCUUCCCUGCAGACGCUGUCAACCUAACAUUCUUCAAAAUGAAUGUAAAUUUGGAAGCCUACAGAACAGAUUAAGAAUGGAAUCUUGUUUCGACCUCUCAGCAUCCAAAUGAGCUAAUUGAAGACGACCUGGUGUUUUCAGAACUAUCGUUCCGAAUUGUUUUAAAAAGGCUUCCUGGUCAUUACAUUAUGAGUGUCAUAUAUCCGACCAUUCUUACUGCCGUAUUGACAUUCGUGACAUUUUUUCUGCCGCUUGAGUCCGGACACAAGAUCGGAUACAUUCUGACAGUGUUACUUGCCUUGGCGGUUUUGUUGACGUUAUUUUCAGACAGUAUGCCUACAACAUCAAAACAUACGUCAGUUCUAGUGGUAUUUCUAACAGUAACAUUAGGAAUGGCCUGUCUUGUGAUUAUCUUCACGAUAUUUAUCAUAAGACUCUUUCAUCAACCAGAACACGACAAGGCUCCAAAAUGGAUGCAUUUCUUGGCAAGGAAAUUUUUGAAGCUAAAAUGCAGAUCCGAAAGAAUAAAUCAUCUUGAUCAUCUUGAGCAAAGUCAGAUUACUGAAAAUGACCCCCCAAAAGAUGGAAGAGACUGCUUGGAGAGUAGAAAGCCAUUUACACCAUACACCAACAAGGAGUUAGCAGAAUUUUUUGAUUAUUUUCUGUUAGGAGUUUUUACAGUUUUAUAUAUUUUGGUUCUUAUAUGUUUCCCAAUAGUUCUGAGCUCUUAAACAUGAUGUAAAAAGGACAUUAAA